GUUUGGACUCUCUUGUCAUCCUUUAUGGUUUGUACUUGAGUUGGCCAAUCCUUCUUUCUAGUAACCUUGUACGCAAGUGCAAGAGGACUAGGACUUUUACUUUGAAGAAAUUAGAGUGUUUAAGGCAGGCUUAUGCUUGAAUAUAUUAGCAUGGGAUAAUAGAAUAGGACUUUGGUUCUAUUUUGUUGGUUGAAGGACCAAAGUA
rnacentral:rRNA from 1 species